rnacentral:lncRNA from 1 species
UCUUCUUAUAAAGACGCUAGUCAUUGGGUUAGGGCCCACUGUAAUCCAGGAUGGCCUCAUUAAUUUGAUUACACCUGCAAAGACCCUAUUUACAAAUGAGGUCAUAUUCAGAGAUACUAGGAGUCAGAAAUUUAACAUAUCUUUUUGGGGAUACAAUUCAACAAUUUUAAUGCUUGCUGUAGCUUUAAAUGGAAGGGGUUUCAAAGUUCUUAGGAGUCCUUGUUUUUGUCUUCCCAGGUAUCUCUUGUUUUCUCUAAGACCUCCUCUUAAAUAGAAACUGACCCUUGCAGCUCUUUCAGCUGUUAUCCAUUGUUAAUACGCUUGAGCCCUGGUGAUGCAGUGGGAAGAAGUGGGAGAGGAAAAACCUUCUAUGAUAUUAUGAUUACGUUUUAGUGUUUUAGUAAGUCUUUGUCUCUGGACUGCAACCUUCACAAGUGUUUCUUCAUCCUCUCCUGUCUUAUACUUGAAAAAGGAAGACUAGAAGAAGCUGGAGCCUGGGACAUGCCUUUCCACCAGCUGAUAUAAGGCUCUUUUUGCCAGAAGGGCUUUGUUAUAAAGAACACUCCCAGCAUAUUUCAAAAUGGCUACUUUCCUCUUUUCCUGCCAGAGGGAUGAGAUGCCUUGUUUUUCCCCCCCAGGGAGCUCCAUAAACAUUCCAUCUGGAGUACAGAACAUGGAGGCCUUUAAUUUGCAUAGCAAAUGUCUCUCCAGUUGGUUUCCAAAUGAAUCAGGAGAAAGAAAACAUGUUCAUCAGUUACAGGAAACUCUGUAUGAAAACCACAAAAGAAAAGGCAAAGAAAAAGAAAGAAAGAAAAAAAUUAGAAGGCUGCCUCAAAAUACUAACAACAACGACAAUACCAACCAGCUAUUGAUUUAUCAUCAGAUUGAAAGAAAGAAACUUCUAUGGAACAAAUAUCACCAAAUAGCAUCUACGAGAAAAGGCAAACAGAGGGUAGCAUAAAGGAAAAUUAUUGAAACAUAUUUCACUGGUUGCUACCUCUGAGAUUCCCCCAACCCGUCAAUUUUAAAUCGUUUGCCAAUUGUUCCCUAGCUGAAGGUUUUAUCCUGGGAUUUCCUGACUCCCUUUUUCCUGCCAUUUCUGCGUUUCCCAGAAUUUCUUUCUACACUCCAUCUUCCAGUCUCCUGGCCUUUUCCAAUAAUGAUAUACCGUUUUUCUUUCUUCCUUUGCUCCCUUCAAAUGUCCAGGCUAAGGGUUAUAUUGGGUAAAUAGUUGUAACUGAGCAGCUAACAUGAUGUUGUUGUUGUUUUAAUUAUUUCUUCUUUUCUUGCUC